UACACAUUUUAAUCAUACAAUAAAUUAACUGCGGGAAGAGUAAAUGUUACUCCCCAAUUUCUCAUACUGUUUACAUGUUUUAUAAUGACUGAACAUAAACUGAAAAAGGUAAGUACAUUUUAAUUAAUCUAAACAUCUAUCGCGUUUGAAUCAAUCGACGCGCGCAAUUCGCAUUCAAGGCGGCAACGCGACGAGACGAGACGUUGGAGGAGACGUUGGACGAGACGUUGGAGGAGAGCUUCAUGCCAGAACAAAACCAAAGCAUUGGGAUGAAACGAGAAACUAUUAUCACAGCCUUAUCCUGUACCUUGGUGAGAAAGAGGAGGCGUUAUUUGAAGACUGCCUGGUGGACAGCCGCAGUGAUGCAUCUCAACACAUCGUGAGGAUCGUGGUUGUCCGUGGCACCGAUGGAGAAGAUCCCGUUGACGUAUCGAUCCUCCUUGAAGGCAAGGAGAUGUUGGCGGGAUGCGAUUUAUUUACUAAAAGACUGGUUUUAAGCAUCGUACAAGGGUUAUUGGCACGGUGACAAUUUUCUCUUGUGAAUGUUUUGGAGGGGAUUCCCCCCACGACCUCAAAGUCUUACAUUUAGGUAAGAUAUAAUAGAUGUAAUAUAAAGCAGGAGGGUUAUAUCUGAGAGACAAUUGGGAGGUCAAGGGUCAGUCUGCAGAGUAUGCGUGCAUGUGUAUAUGUGUGUGUGUGUCUCUGCCUGUGUGUGUGUGUCAGAGUGUGUGUCUGUGUGUCUCUGCCUGUGUGUGUGUACGUAUGUGAGUGUCUAUGUAUUUCUGUCAGUGUGUGUGUGUGUAUGCCUUUUAUAUUGUAUUGUUUGAAUAAAUAUAGACGUUUUAUACUACUUACGCUUAACAGAUAAAUCUGACAUUUAUUUUGAAAGGUUAAAAGGAAGUGCACUUUGUUUUAGGUUAAAAUGCGAACUUUAUGGUGUAGAUUACGGACAGAUGCGCAUUUUAUAACAAGUUUAAUAGUUGAUUUGACCCGUAUGGGACUGACUCUGUUAAGGUGGUGAUGAGGUGGUGAUAGUUUACGAGUUUUAAUAAAUGUAUUGUCACCUAAAGAAAGAAAAUAAAGGAGAGUCACCAGCAGUAAGUCUUCACGCCAAUUCAUAUGAUCCGUUACAACGCUUAUUGCUGUCAUAAUACGCAGGCGAAACAUAUAAAAUAAUAAUAAAUAAGACUAGAGGACGCUUUUUCCAAUUCAUAACAGAAUUGUAGAAUAGAGAGAUAACAAACGGCAAAGAUACGUUGAUCAGAGACGUAUUUGUAAUACGUCAAAUACAAACGUAAUCUGGAGAGAAAUACGUUUCAGUCAAACGUAACUGCAAAUUGAAUUUUAGGUCUGGGGGAACGUAAUUUUUGUGAUGCAGGGUUGCAUAAAUGUACACAGACUGUAAAUGUUCAGCAGCUGUUUCAACAUGCAUGUUGGUGUUGUGUCAAGUUAGGCACCAGUUCUGUCACUUGAUUGCAGAUUAAAACAAAUGUUUAUAUUUGUAUUUUAUUUUUCUUUAUUAUCCUAAGUGUGAAUUUCUUGACACUGAAUUUUUAUUUAAGAAAAACAAGAGUUUUUAUAAAAUUGAAUUAUUUGCUGACAAAAUAAAUAUUUUGAAUUGCA